rnacentral:rRNA from 1 species
AUACGGAGGGUGCAAGCGUUACUCGGAAUCACUGGGCGUAAAGGACGCGUAGGCGGGUUGUCAAGUCUGAUGUGAAAUCCUAUGGCUCAACCAUAGAACUGCAUUGGAAACUGGCAACCUAGAGUAUGGGAGGGGGAGAUGGAAUUAGUGGUGUAGGGGUAAAAUCCGUAGAUAUCACUAGGAAUACCGAAAGCGAAGGCGAUCUCCUGGAACAUAACUGACGCUAAGGCGUGAAAGCGUGGGGAGCAAACGGGAUUAGAAACCCUAGUAGUCC